rnacentral:rRNA from 1 species
GACAGAGGGUGCAAACGUUGUUCGGAAUUACUGGGCGUAAAGCGAGUGUAGGCGGUGUGGUAAGUCGGGUGUGAAAGCCCUCAGCUCAACUGAGGAAGUGCGCCCGAAACUGCAGAGCUUGAGUGCCGGAGAGGGUGGCGGAAUUCCCCAAGUAGAGGUGAAAUUCGUAGAUAUGGGGAGGAACACCGGUGGCGAAGGCGGCCACCUGGACGGUAACUGACGCUGAGACGCGAAAGCGUGGGGAGCAAACAGG